rnacentral:rRNA from 1 species
UACGUAGGGGGCUAGCGUUGUCCGGAAUCAUUGGGCGUAAAGGGUGCGUAGGCGGGUCUUUAAGUCGGGGGUGAAAUCCUGGAGCUCAACUCCAGAACUGCCUUUGAUACUGAAGAUCUUGAGUUCGGGAGAGGUGAGUGGAACUGCGAGUGUAGAGGUGAAAUUCGUAGAUAUUCGCAAGAACACCAGUGGCGAAGGCGGCUCACUGGCCCGAUACUGACGCUGAGGCACGAAAGCGUGGGGAGCAAACAGG